UACGGGGUGGGCAAGCGUUGUUCGGAAUUACUGGGCGUAAAGGGCUCGUAGGUGGCCAACUAAGUCGGACGUGAAAUCCCUCGGCUUAACCGGGGAACUGCGUCCGAUACUGGUUGGCUUGAGUUUGGGAGAGGGAUGCGGAAUUCCAGGUGUAGCGGUGAAAUGCGUAGAUAUCUGGAGGAACACCGGUGGCGAAGGCGGCAUCCUGGACCGGUAUUGACGCUGAGGCGCGAAAGCUAGGGGAGCAAACAGG
rnacentral:rRNA from 1 species